AUCUUCAGGGCGGGGCGAAAUUCCCCACCGGCGGUAUAGUCCGCGAGUUUUAUUACUGAACCUGUGAAAUUCAGGUACCGACGGUAUAGUCCGGAUGAGAGAAGAUG
rnacentral:ncRNA from 1 species